rnacentral:rRNA from 1 species
AGAUUGAACGCUGGCGGCAGGCCUAACACAUGCAAGUCGAGCGGAAACAGAGAGUAACUUGUUACUUUGCUGUCGAGCGGCGGACGGGUGAGUAAUGCUUGGGAAACUGCCCAGUCGAGGGGGACAACCAUUGGAAACGAUGGCUAAUACCGCAUACGCCCUACGGGGGAAAGAAGGGGACUCUUCGGAGCCUUUCGCGAUUGGAUGUGCCCAAGUGGGAUUAGCUAGUUGGUGAGGUAAAGGCUCACCAAGGCGACGAUCCCUAGCUGGUUUGAGAGGAUGAUCAGCCACACUGGAACUGAGACACGGUCCAGACUCCUACGGGAGGCAGCAGUGGGGAAUAUUGCACAAUGGGCGCAAGCCUGAUGCAGCCAUGCCGCGUGUAUGAAGAAGGCCUUCGGGUUGUAAAGUACUUUCAGCGAGGAGGAAAGGGUAUAGCUUAAUACGCUAUAUCUGUGACGUUACUCGCAGAAGAAGGACCGGCUAACUCCGUGCCAGCAGCCGCGGUAAUACGGAGGGUCCGAGCGUUAAUCGGAAUUACUGGGCGUAAAGCGUACGCAGGCGGUUUGUUAAGCGAGAUGUGAAAGCCCCGGGCUCAACCUGGGAACUGCAUUUCGAACUGACAAACUAGAGUUUUGUAGAGGGUGGUAGAAUUUCAGGUGUAGCGGUGAAAUGCGUAGAGAUCUGAAGGAAUACCAGUGGCGAAGGCGGCCACCUGGACAAUAACUGACGCUCAUGUACGAAAGCGUGGGGAGCAAACGGGAUUAGAUACCCCGGUAGUCCACGCCGUAAACGAUGUCAACUAGCCGACUGAAUCCUUGAGAUUUGGGUGGCGCAGCUAACGCAUUAAGUUGACCGCCUGGGGAGUACGGCCGCAAGGUUA